GGAGUUAUGAGAACAUUGACUGAGAAUAUUAAACCGAUGGUGGAUUUGGUGAGGAAUUCACUGUACCUCAAGUCCCUUGUUAUAAAAUCGUGGCCAACUUUUGCCAGCUCAUUAAAUAAAGCAGACGAGAAUGUGUUCCAGGCUGCCAUGGACAAUGAUAAAAUAAAGAAUCUGACAAAACUAAGUAUCUUUGAUUGUGAUUCUGUGGCAUGGUCUGAACGUAGACCGCUGUUACUUCCUGUCGACCUGACGCAUAAGAUGGUGGAACAUUUCAAAAGUCUCACUCAUUUGGCCUUAAGGUCACCCAUGCUAAGCGAGGAUCUGAUCAGAUGUCUGUCAUGUGGUGACAGACAAAGACUUCAGCAGCUAAAGAUUUCUAUAAAUUAUCUUCCGCAAAACGAAAGCUUUGAAAUUCCCCAAAUAACGGAUUCUGUUUGGAGAGAUUUCACAAACCAUAACACCAAAGUUCGAGUCCAUGUUUUGGUGCUUUCACGGGUACCACAUCACUCUAUGGAAAUGUUCCUUCGCCCUUCCUGUCCGCUGUACAAUAUCAGGUUUGGAGAAUUCGUUCGUUGUGAUAAAGAGUUUGUUGCCUAUUUGGCCAAUACAUUUACUUCUAGUUUAGAAACAUUUGAGUAUUAUGAGGAGGACGGUGAUUUUGAACAGGAGCUUAUUUCAUUGGUGGAGUGUUCUAGUCAGUUGUGCAGAUUGGUCUACUGCGGGAAAAUCAGCAUAAAACACGUCAUACACCUGGCUGAACUGAGAGGAGCAGAAUGGCAGGUGUUGCACUUGGCAAGAAAAAACAUUUACACGGUCCCCACGAAUGCCAACGAACCGGAAAUCGAUGGGGACACAGUCAUUGCAAAAAAUUCAUCCGGUGAAUACGUUCUUGUGAAUAUGUUGAAAUUUCACGAGCAGACUUCCAUCACUAGCAACGGAGAAGAGGAACAGAUUAUGAUAGAUAGGGUGUCACAAAAGCUGGGGAGGAAGUGGUUUCCUGACAGUGAUAUGUGACUGAAGCAUAAAUGAAGAUUAAAUGAAACGUGCUAAUGUACAUAUUAUUAUUUAACUUUAUUGCAUAUAUAUAUACCUUACAUGCGUUUGAUAUUCUCAUACUCAUACUUUGAUAUUUAGAAUGAAGCAAUUAAUUUU
rnacentral:misc_RNA from 1 species